GCUUGUCUCAAAGAUUAAGCCAUGCAUGUCUAAGUAUAAACGAUUAUACAGUGAAACUGCGAAUGGCUCAUUAUAUCAGUUAUAAUUUAUUUGAUAGUACCUUACUACUUGGAUAACUGUGGUAAUUCUAGAGCUAAUACAUGCAAAAAAACCCGACUUCUGGAGAGAUGCUUUUAUUAGAUCAAAACCAAACGGCUUCGGCCGUCUCAUUGGUGACUCUGAAUAACUUUGGGCUGAUCGUAUGGCCUUGUGCCGACGACGUUUCCUUCGAAGGUGUGCCCUAUCAACUGUCGACUGUGAUAUAGACGCUCACAGUGGUUUUGACGGGUAACGGGGAAUCAGGGUUCGAUUCCGGAGAGGGAGCCUUAAAAACGGCUACCACAUCCAAGGAAGGCAGCAGG
rnacentral:rRNA from 1 species